rnacentral:rRNA from 1 species
UACGUAGGUGGCAAGCGUUGUCCGGAUUUACUGGGCGUAAAGCGUGCGUAGUCGGUUAUUUAAGUCGGGCGUGAAAGCCCCGGGCUCAACCUGGGAAUUGCGUUCGAUGCUGGAUAGCUAGAGUUCGGCAGAGGGAAGCGGAAUUUCUGGUGUAGCGGUGAAAUGCGUAGAUAUCAGAAGGAACAUCAGUGGCGAAAGCGGCUUCCUGGACCAGAACUGACGAUCAGGCACGAAAGCGUGGGGAGCAAACAGG